rnacentral:rRNA from 2 species
UAAUUAGUACUUCCUGCUCAAUGAACUUUAAAUAGCCGCAACUAACGUGCUAAGGUAGCAUAAUCAUUUGCCUUUUAAUUAGAGGCUAGAAUGAAAGGAUCAACGCGCUGAGUUCUUUAUUAUAAUGGCUUCUUCAAAUUAUCAUUUAAGUAAAAAGACUUAAAUUUCAAGAGAAGACGACAAGACCCUAUCGAACUUUAAUUAUCUUUUUAACUGGGGCGGUAAAAAAACCAAAUCUUUUUGACUUUAAAUUAAAAUCUAACCCCUAAAAAGGACUAAAACAAGUUACCGUAGGGAUAACAG